rnacentral:rRNA from 1 species
GGAGGUUGGCUUAGAAGCAGCCAUCCUUGAAAGAGUGCGUAAUAGCUCACUGGUCGAGUGGUUCUGCGCCGAUAAUGUAGCGGGGCUUAAGUACACCGCCGAAACCGCGGCAACACGCGUAAAGUGUGUUGGGUAGGGGAGCGUCGUGCAUGUGUUGAAGCCAUCUGGUGACAGGUGGUGGAGUGUGUGCGAGUGAGAAUGCAGGCAUGAGUAACGAUUGAUGUGUGAGAAACAUAUCCGCCGGAUGACUAAGGGUUCCUGGGUGAAGUUUGUCUUCCCAGGGUGAGUCGGGGCCUAAGGCGAGGCCGACAGGCGUAGUCGAUGGAUGACGGGUUGAUAUUCCCGUACCGGCGAAGCACCGCCCAUGCUGACGCGCGGGUGCUAACCCACGCCCAACCACCAUAUAGGCCGCAUGUGUCAGGUUCGCCUGACGGUGUGGUUGUGGUGGUGGGGUCUGGGGAUCCUCCGUGCAGGUAGGCAAGCGUGUUAACAGGGGUGACGCACAGUGGUAGCCCGGCGGACCUGAUGGCUUGGUCCGUUCAAGCGCGCAGCCCGUUUCCCAGGUAAAUCCGGGGGACUGUCUUUGAUGACGGGGGUGAGGCGUGAUGGUGACCUCACACUGGUGGGGGAUAACAGGGUGAUCCUGGGGUGCCGAGAAAAGCCUCGACGCGAUGGUGCCAGCCGCCCGUACCCUAAACCGACACAGGUGGUCGGGCAGAGUAUGCCUAGGCGCACGAGUGAAUCAUGGUUAAGGAACUCGGCAAAAUGCCCCCGUAACUUCGGGAGAAGGGGGGCCCUGAGCGUGAUCUGCCCGUGCGGUGGGGAGCGUGUAGGGGUCGCAGAGACCAGGGGGAAGCGACUGUUUAUCAAAAACACAGGUCCGUGCGAAGUCGUAAGACGAGGUAUACGGACUGACUCCUGCCCGGUGCUGGAAGGUUAAGAGGAUUGGUUAGCCCUGUGUGGGCGAAGCUGAGAAUUUAAGCCCCAGUAAACGGCGGUGGUAACUAUAACCAUCCUAAGGUAGCGAAAUUCCUUGUCGGGUAAGUUCCGACCUGCACGAAUGGCGUAACGACUUCCCUGCUGUCUCAACCACAGGCCCGGUGAAAUUGCAGUACGAGUAAAGAUGCUCGUUUCGCGCGGCAGGACGAAAAGACCCCGGGACCUUUACUAUAGCUUGGUAUUGGUGUUUGGUCAUGCUUGUGUAGGAUAGGUGGGAGACUGUGAAGCCGCAACGCUAGUUGUGGUGGAGUCGGCCAGUGAAAUACCACUCUGGUGUGAUUGGGUACCUGAACCUUGGCCCGUGAUCCGGGUUGGGGACAGUGCCUGGUGGGUAGUUUAACUGGGGCGGUUGCCUCCUAAAUGGUAACGGAGGCGCCCAAAGGUUUCCUCAGUCUGGUUGGCAAUCAGAUGGUGAGUGUAAGUGUAUAAGGGAGCUUGACUGUGACACUGACGGGUGGAGCAGGUGCGAAAGCAGGGACUAGUGAUCCGGCAUCUACGUGUGGUUGUGGUGUCGCUCAACGGAUAAAAGGUACCCCGGGGAUAACAGGCUGAUCUUCCCCAAGAGUUCAUAUCGACGGGAUGGUUUGGCACCUCGAUGUCGGCUCGUCGCAUCCUGGGGCUGGAGUAGGUCCCAAGGGUUGGGCUGUUCGCCCAUUAAAGCGGCACGCGAGCUGGGUUUAGAACGUCGUGAGACAGUUCGGUCUCUAUCCGCCGCGCGCGUUGAAACUUGAAGAAGGCUGUCCCUAGUACGAGAGGACCGGGAUGGACGUACCUCUGGUAUGCCAGUUGUCACGCCAGUGGCAUGGCUGGUUAGCUACGUGCGGGAGGGAUAACCGCUGAAAGCAUCUAAGCGGGAAGCCUGUUUUGAGAUGAGGUUUCUGUUGAGGUUCCCUAUAGAUGAUGGGGUUGAUAGGCCAGGGCUGUGAGCAUGGUGACGUGUUGGAGGUGACUGGUACUAAUACACCGACACAAAAAACACA